rnacentral:rRNA from 1 species
UACGUAGGUGGCAAGCGUUGUCCGGAUUUACUGGGCGUAAAGGGCGUGCAGGCGGUUUGUUAAGUGCAGGGUGAAAGCUCCCGGCUCAACUGGGAGAGGUCCUUGCAUACUGGCAAACUCGAGGGAGGCAGAGGAAAGUGGAAUUCCUGGAUGUAGCGGUGAAAUGCGUAGAUAUCUGGAGGAACACCGGUGGCGAAGGCGGCAUCCUGGACCAACACUGACGCUGAGUGAGCGAAAGCCAGGGGAGCAAACGGG